rnacentral:rRNA from 1 species
UACGGGGGGGAGCAAGCGUUGUUCGGAUUUACUGGGCGUAAAGGGCGCGUAGGCGGCCACCGCAAGUCGACUGUGAAAUCUCCGGGCUUAACUCGGAAAGGUCAGCCGAUACUGCGGGGGCUAGAGUGCAGAAGGGGGCAACUGGAAUUCUCGGUGUAGCGGUGAAAUGCGUAGAUAUCGAGAGGAACACCUGCGGCGAAGGCGGGUUGCUGGGCUGACACUGACGCUGAUUGUGCGAAAGCUAGGGGGAGCGAACGGGG